UACGAAGGGUGCAAGCGUUACUCGGAAUUACUGGGCGUAAAGCGUGCGUAGGUGGUUUGUUAAGUCUGAUGUGAAAGCCCUGGGCUCAACCUGGGAAUGGCAUUGGAUACUGGCGAGCUAGAGUGCGGUAGAGGAUGGCGGAAUUCCCGGUGUAGCAGUGAAAUGCGUAGAGAUCGGGAGGAACAUCUGUGGCGAAGGCGGCCAUCUGGACCAGCACUGACACUGAGGCACGAAAGCGUGGGGAGCAAACAGG
rnacentral:rRNA from 1 species